rnacentral:rRNA from 1 species
GAUGAACGCUAGCGAUAGGCUUAACACAUGCAAGUCGAGGGGCAGCAUGGUCUUAGCUUGCUCAGACUGAUGGCGACCGGCGCACGGGUGCGUAACGCGUAUGCAACUUGCCUCACAGAGGGGGAUAACCCGUCGAAAGACGGACUAAUACCGCGUACACUCUAUUUUGGGCAUCCAAGGUAGAGGAAAUGAAAUUCGCUGUGAGAUAGGCAUGCGUCCCAUUAGCUAGUUGGUGAGGUAACGGCUCACCAAGGCGACGAUGGGUAGGGGAACUGAGAGGUUGAACCCCCACACUGGUACUGAGACACGGACCAGACGCCUAAGGGAGGCAGCAGUGAGGAAUAUUGGUCAAUGGGCGAGAGCCUGAACCAGCCAAGUCGCGUGAAGGAUGACUGUCUUAUGGAUUGUAAACUUCUUUUGUAGGGGAAUAAAGAGGGGCACGUGUGCCCCAGUGAAUGUACCCUACGAAUAAGCAUCGGCUAACUCCGUG